GGUUGUUUGGCCGAGCGGUCUAAGGCGCCUGAUUCAAGUAUUAAAUUGCUUAACUACUAAGUAGGAAUACUCAGGUAUCGUAAGAUGCAAGAGUUCGAAUCUCUUAGCAACCA
rfam:Vanderwaltozyma polyspora DSM 70294 KpolScaffold2000 genomic scaffold, whole genome shotgun sequence.